rnacentral:rRNA from 1 species
AGGAAGCGAGAAGUCGACGCGCCGACCCCCGCAAGGGGGGCGAGGCGUCCGGCCCUCCGCGAGCAUCCGCGUGGGUGUGGGUUACGGACCCCGUCCGAUCCCGUUCCCACCGCGGGGCUGUCCGCGAUCAUGGAGGUGUCCUCGGACGGCGUCGAAUCACUCAAAGUUCUCCAGUCCGCGACGCUACGGCUUGGAUGGUCCACCCGACCCGUCUUGAAACACGGACCAAGGAGUCUAACAUGCGCGCAAGUCGUUGGGUCGGACACGCUCCGCUAAACCCAUAGGCGCAAUGAAAGUGAAGGCCGCCGUUCGGGCGGCCGAGGGAGGACGGGGCCGGCCGGGCGCUCCGGUGCUCGGCGGUCCCCGCACCCCCGGGGCGUCUGAUCCCUCAUCGCGAGGGGAGGCGCACCCAGAGCGCACACGUUGGGACCCGAAAGAUGGUGAACUAUGCCUGGCCAGGACGAAGUCAGGGGAAACCCUGAUGGAGGUCCGUAGCGAUUCUGACGUGCAAAUCGAUCGUCGGAGCUGGGUAUAGGGGCGAAAGACUAAUCGAACCAUCUAGUAGCUGGUUCCCUCCGAAGUUUCCCUCAGGAUAGCUUGCGCUCGGAGGAGAGUCUCAUCCGGUAAAGCGAAUGAUUAGAGGCCUUGGGGCCGAAACGGCUUCAACCUAUUCUCAAACUUUAAAUGGGUGAGAACUCCGGCUUGCUCGACCGAUCGAAGCCGGAGACGGGGCCGUCCCUCGGGGCGGACCCCCGGGAUCGGAGUGCAUAGUGGGCCACUUUUGGUAAGCAGAACUGGCGCUGUGGGAUGAACCAAACGACGGGUUAAGGCGCCCGAAUCGACGCUCAUGGGAAACCAUGAAAGGUGUUGGUUGCUUAAGACAGCAGGACGGUGGCCAUGGAAGUCGGAAUCCGCUAAGGAGUGUGUAAUAACUCACCUGCCGAAGCAACUAGCCCUGAAAAUGGAUGGCGCUGAAGCGUCGUGCCUAUACCCGGCCGUCGCGGCAGGGCGGACCCGGCCUCGCGUCGGGUGCCGCUUGAUGCGGCGACGAGUAGGAGGGUCGCGGCGGCGCGCGCAGAAGGGUCUGGGCUCGAGCCUGCCUGGAGCCGCCGCCGGUGCAGAUCUUGGUGGUAGUAGCAAAUACUCCAGCGAGGCCCUGGAGGACUGAUGUGGAGAAGGGUUUCGUGUGAACAGCCGUUGCACACGAGUCAGUCGAUCCUAAGCCCUAGGAGAAAUCCGACGCCAACGGCGACGGGAGAAAUUUUGAAAGAGAAAGAAACCCGUUGAUCGGGCGAAAGGGAAUCCGGUUCCUAUUCCGGAACCCGGCAGCGGAACCGCUGUUUGUCGGGCCCUCACAAGGGGUUCGUCAGGGUAACCUAAAAGGGCCCGGAGACGCCGUCGGGAGCCCCGGAAAGAGUUUUCUUUUCUGCAUGAGCGUUCGAGUUCCCUG